CUAAGUUUAGCCAUUCUCCUAAUCGUCUAAAAUUGUUCAAGUUUCCCCGCCCAAUUUUCCCCCCUUCCUCAAAAACCCAAAUUUCCCCACGUUCCCAGAAUCGAAAUCCAAACUGAAUCAACAUCCUUCUAUCCCUCCCUUUUCUCUUUCACUCUCUCAAUCUUCCCUACCGCUUCAACUCAGAGGUUGCUUUCACCAUUUGAAUCGUCUGUUGUGGGGCUGCUCCAGCAGUGUUGCUGUUUAGGGCCGGCUCCGAAUGUGAAUGAAGUGAAUCAGUCGCUUGAGGCUCCCAAUUUUUUAGGGUUUUUGAGUUCUUCAUAACAUUUAUACAGAGAAAGGGAAAAUAAAGCAUCCUUUGGAGCAAAAGUCAUUCCAUAAGAGUGAAACUUUACACUUGAUCGAGCAACACUACUUCUUGGACAAUUUUUGAGAGACUUUUGAUAUCCGCAGCCAAGCUACCAGUGAAACAAAAAGGUGGGAUGCAGAGAACAAAAUUAUUAUGGUUCAUCAUUAGUGGUCUCUGUUCAUCGCCUUGAAUCGUCAGUUUUGAAGUUCUGUAGAUAUCCAAACGAACCAAGCUUCAUGUUCUGAUUUUCAAAAGUCAAAAAUCCUAUUUUACAAUAGUCAGCCAUUGAAGGUAAUGUUUGUCAAUCAACUGUUGGAAUUUUGAUAUUUUGUGUACUCAUAUCUGAUUAACUUUUAAUGUGAAUUUACAUGUAAUGGCUGGUUAAAAAAAUUACUUAACUUUGGUAA